rnacentral:rRNA from 1 species
AGCAGCCGCCACGGGAAUACGUAGGUGGCAAGCGUUGUCCGGAAUUAUUGGGCGUAAAGGGCUCGCAGGCGGUUUCUUAAGUCUGAUGUGAAAGCCCCCGGCUCAACCGGGGAGGGUCAUUGGAAACUGGGAAACUUGAGUGCAGAAGAGGAGAGUGGAAUUCCACGUGUAGCGGUGAAAUGCGUAGAGAUGUGGAGGAACACCAGUGGCGAAGGCGACUCUCUGGUCUGUAACUGACGCUGAGGAGCGAAAGCGUGGGGAGCGAACAGGAUUAGAUACCCGAGUAGUCCCUGUCUCUUAUAU